rnacentral:lncRNA from 1 species
UCCUAGCCUUCCUAUCCCUACCUUUCUUCUCUCCUUAUCUUCCUUAAUUCUCUUCCUAGACUCUUGUCCUAAAAUCGAACUUGUCCUUUCUAUUUUUGGACUUAUCCUAACAAGAGAAGAAAGAGACUAAUUGGACAAUAGAGAGAGGAUGUUAGAAAGGAGGAAUUGAAAAUCUGAAUGAAUCCAAUCCCCGACGCAACCCCC